rnacentral:rRNA from 1 species
CAGUAGCCGCGGGAAUACGAAGGGGGCUAGCGUUGUCCGGAAUUAUUGGGCGUAAAGCGUGCGUAGGCGGUUCGUUAAGUCUGUUGUGAAAGCCCCGGGCUCAACCUGGGAAUGGCAAUGGAUACUGGCGAGCUAGAGUGUGUCAGAGGAUGGUGGAAUUCCCGGUGUAGCGGUGAAAUGCGUAGAGAUCGGGAGGAACAUCAGUGGCGAAGGCGGCCAUCUGGGACAACACUGACGCUGAGGCACGAAAGCGUAGGGAGCAAACAGGAUUAGAUACCCCAGUAGUCCCUGUCUCUUAUAC